rnacentral:lncRNA from 1 species
CACGGCGGGACACGCGCGCGGAGAGAGAUCCGGACCCGUUUCCUGUAACACAUCCAUCCCCCAUCCCAGGGGUCAGCAGAGAGUAGAGAGCGACUCCCAGAGGAGCCUGGCCUCAUCAGCCUGGAGGUCAAAGUCAAGGUCACAAGAGCAGGCCAACGCCAGCAGGUGGGGAAGUGUCUGCACAGAGUAGCAGCCCUGGGUGAGUCCAGACCCCAUCUCCUCCUGCAAAGUGGGGCGACAGUAACCGCACUGUGAAGUGACCACAUGGUAAAGACCGCAGGCCUGCAAAGCCCAGCGCAGGGCCUGGGCAGGUGAGAGCUGGGAGCUGUGGUCCACGCUUCGCACCCUCUCAGCGAGUGUCAGAGUCUGAGGGGCUCCAAGGUCCUGGCUGAGGGAGGAGCAGAGACAGAGAGAGACCAAGUGGAGGCUGCUGGGGUGCAGGCCGAGGCUGCCCUCUUCAGGCACCCCAGCCAGUCCGAGCAGGCGGGGUGUGUGGCCCCAUGCUCCUGGCCACCAGCCUUUGCUCGGGGCCUGGGUCUGAGGCUCACCUGCCAGUCCCACUCCCCUCUGGAGUCUUUCGCAGAGGUUACGACACCCCGCAUGCCCCGUGCACCUAAACCCCACUGAGUGUCCACCGCCUGGAGGCCUGUGUGACCCAGGGACCUGCAAAGGACCCAAACCCCACUGAAUGUCCACCGCCUGGAGGCCUGUGUGACUCAGGGGCCCGCAAAGAAGACCUCAGCCUCCCGCUUGCUUAGAAAUGCGGCUUGGACCAGAGCACCUCCCGGGGCCCACACCCUACUCUGCAGGCAAGGGCAGGCACCUGUGCCCCUGUUU